rnacentral:rRNA from 2 species
CUGUAAGACUGGGAUAACUCCGGGAAACCGAUGCUAAUACCGGAUGGUUGUUUGACCCGCAUGGUUCAGACAUAAAAUGUGGCUUCGGCUACCACUUACAAAUGGACCCGCGGCGCAUUAUCUAGUUGGUGAGGUAACGGCUCUCAAGGCAACGAUGCGUAACCGACCUGAAAGGGUGAUCGGCCACGCUGGGACUGAGACAUUGCCCAGACUCCUACGGGAGGCAUCAGUAGGGAAUCUUCCGCAAUGGACGAAAGUCUGACUGAGCAACUCCGCGUGAGUGAUGAUAGUUUUCGGAUCGUAAAGCUCUGUUGUUAGGGAAGAACAAGUGCCGUUCAAAUAUGGCGGCACCUUGACGGUACCUAACCAGAAUUCCUGGGCUAACUACGUGCCAACACCCGCGUUAAUACCUAAGUGGCAAGCGUUGUCCGGAAUUAUUGGGCGUAAAGGGCUCGCACGCGGUUUCUUACCUCUGAUGUGAAAGCCCCCGGCUCAACCGGGGAGGGUCAUUGGAAACUGGGGAACUUGAGUGCAUAACAGGAGAGUGUAAUUCCACGUGUAUCGAUGAUAUGCGUAGAGAUGUGGAGGAGCACCAGUGAC